CUAAUACUCCCUCCGUCCGGAAAAGCUUGUCCCAAGCUUGUUCCCCAAAUGGAUGUAUCUAGCACUAACUUGGUGCUAAAUACAUCCAUUUGAGGCACAAGAUUUUUCGUACGGAGGGAGUACAUG
rfam:Triticum aestivum genome assembly, contig: Triticum_aestivum_CS42_TGACv1_scaffold_577707_7BL